ACAGGUAACAUGACUUAACAUUAUUGUUAGGCAGCUGACUGAUAUUUCAACAACAAUGACAUCGGUGGAUGGCAAAGGCAGAGAUGUACAUUACUAAUAUGCAGCUGUUUAUACAUGCCAAGAGGUUCUUUGGAUUUAAACCCAGGUUUGGGCUACUUGAUGUAAUCCCCGGAUGUAGCGUCUAUGGUUGGCCACACCAAGUUAGAAAAAUAACUGUGGGCUCAUUUGUUGUGUUCAUAACAUUGGAAUAAUCUUUGCUUUACUGGUUUUAUGUAAUGUGUAAUUAUUUCCUCAGUACAAUAAUGGCUCGGCUUAGUGGUGCAGCAUUUUUCAGAGCUCGUUUUAUGACAUGCGUUUCCUAGAAAAGGGGUUAAAAAUAGCAGUGAAAUGAUUGAAACACUGGGAUCCUGCUUGCCGUUCAUGAUAAGGCUGAACAAAUUGCACAAAGGCAAAACAAGCAAGUGAUUACACAGCAUUCAGGGGGAGAGGUACAGUGUCCACGGAUCACCCUGGAAACAGGUGCUCGCUGCACUGCUACAAGAUGUCAAUGAAAAUGCUAAUGGAUCCCAAGAACACACAUUUUAAGCUUUUCUCUAUCGAGUGUCUUCACAUGGAAGGAAAAAAACAAUGUAUUAGGGCAGCUUAUUGAGAUUUAAUGCUUAGAUAUGUAGAUAUGUUGUUGUUGUUUUUGAUUUCAAGGCAUCACAGUGUAGUUAUCUGUUCAAAAUGUUUUUGAAGGCUUCUGUAACUCAUGUUGGAGGACAUGAUACAGAGGAGUUUAACAUUUUUAAAUCAUUGUCAAGAGUAAAAUAAAAUUGACUAUAUGAACCAGUAAAUGAGACUGUCCCCCCCUUUCAAAAUGUGCAGAAUGGUUUGGUCCACAUGACCACACCUGGCUAAAGCAGCUAAUCAGCAUGUUAGCUACAGCAGCUAAUCAGCAUGUCAGCUGGAAGAGGAUAGUCUGUGGGGUUUUAGUCAAGAAAACAACAUUAUAGUUCCAGUAAUUAAAAGCAAAGAAGGUGAGUGCAACAAACACACUUGUAUAUCUGUCAAUGUUACCCAGCAAAGCUAAAUAUGCAACAUAUGGCUCUCACUUUCAGAAACAAGCCCAGAGACUUGAGCAGCCCAUUCAUUUGCUGACAACCUGAGUCAAGGAAAUGAGGGAGUCUGCUGCUGCUGCACAACUGUGAUCUACAACUUGGAUGUGAAUCCUGCGGACAUUUGAUUGGCUGUGUGUGGAGUGUGAGGGCGGGGUUUGCUGAACGAGCUCUGCGCAUGUGCAGCGCUGCUAAGUGAGUGACAAAGAUCAGAGUCAUGAAAUCCGCUUGCGCAUGUCAGUAGCGUACUUCCAUCAUGCCUUAUGGGAGAAGGGUCUAACUGCAAACCCUCAGACCACUACACGACAACCCCCACACUACACGACACGCCUUCUCAACUCUGAUUGGGUCACAGAAGAGACUGCGUCUGAAACGUGAUGACGUUUACGUUGGCGAUGAAGAGAGAGAACCUCGAGUUUAAAAACAACGCAGAACAACACAACAUAACGUGUUCUACUCGCACAAUGACGGAGGAAAAGAGCAACACUACUUUAACCGAUGAAGCUGAGCUGAGGAGAUACAAAGAGGAGCUACACUGACGGUCAAGUGUAGAGUACGGUGGAUACAGUGCCUACAAAUGCCACCUUGACUGUGUGCAAAGCAGCCAUUAUCACUGUGGCUUUUGCACAAAAGUCUUUGUGAAAAAUGUUUUGUCCAUCAGUUUAAAACCUGCUGCAAGACAGCAACCACAAAUAUUACUGCAACUUUGGCAUCCACGGUGACUCCAGCAUCCACUCAAGCAUCCAUGGUGACUCGGCGUCCACAGCAGACCAUCAGAAAAAAAAUUAUGCAAAAAAAAAACAUGUUUUUGCUUGCAGUUAUGGAAGGAAGUUUGCUCACUUUACCAAGGAAGGCAGAGCAACACUCCAAGACGACAUUGCCCCUUAGACGUCACAACAGGAAAUUAACUUGGGGCAACUUCACGUGAUCAUCUCCGUCCUGCAGAGGUUGAUGCUGCUCCAUCAUCCUUUCCUCGUCUCCUCGUUCCUCAUCUCCUUGUCAUGCAAACAUGGACAAAGUGUGUCUCGGACUGCGUCUCAUUGAUGUGUCCUGUCCGACAACUUGGACAAACAUUUGGACAGGAUUGUGAGUCUGUUAGUAUCGGACAGUUUUGCUCUUCGCUCACAGCGAAGAGUCCAUUACAGUCCCUACACUGUGAAUGGUCAUCAAUGGGGAAGAGGGUUUGGGGAAGAGGGAUUGGGGAAGAUAGAAAGAGGACGGACACAAAAGAAGGGGACGUUUACAACAUGAAUGACGUAGACAACAAUGACAAACAAACGUUGAAACACAAACGUUGCUAACGCUGACUACUCUCACUCUGUCCUGAACUGAGUGUUUGGAUGCAUGGAUUGUUGUUGUCUGACUUAGCUGUGAUAAACAUUUCUAUCAGUAAUUCCAGUUUAUCUUGGGUGUAGUUUAAUUAUUAAUAUAGAGAAGAGAAACCCAACAAUUCACACAAUGAGCAAGCACUAGUCGCAACAGUGGAGAGAAAAAACAACCUUUUAACAGGAAGAAAUCUCUGACAGAACCAGACUUAAAGAUGUGCGGCCAUCUGCCUCGACCGGGUGGGGUGAUAGGAAAAAUGGGGGCAGAGGUGGGGGAGACGAAGGACAAGAGGGAGGUAGAGACAAGAGAGAGAACAGGAGCAGAAAUACAUCAACCAAAACAUGUUACAGAAAUGUAAAACAAACAAGGGGCCCCCAUUUUGUGCGAUUAAUGUUUAUUUUGUGUUCAUUUUGUGUUGCUGUGGCAGCAACUUUGAGGUUUUACUAUUGUCGUCGCUUUGAGUAACUUUUGUGUUGCUGUGGCAGCAACUUUGAGGUUUUACUAUUGUCGUCGCUUUGAGUAACUUUUGUGUUGCUGUGGCAGCAACUUUGAGGUUUUACUAUUGUCGUCGCUUUGAGUAACUUUUGUGUUGCUGUGGCAGCAACUUUGAGGUUUUACUAUUGUCGUCGCUUUGAGUAACGUUUUGAGUAUGAGCAUACAUUAAUACAGUUGUCACAAUGUAACAUGUCCUGGAGAUGUCUUGGAUAUCCAAGUGUUGCCUCGAGGUCAAAACCAUGUUGGGUCUCCAUUCUGGAAUAGAGUAGAAGGGGAAAAAAAAAAACACAAAGCAGCAACAAACAUCAGUCACUUGAGCCACAGGAGGAGAUUGGGAUACUCACCACCAUAGGUUCUUUUUGUGUCAUGGUGGCCACUGACCAGGGGGGCUGUGACAGAAGUAGGUAUCUCUUCUAGAAUAGAUAAGAAAAAAGAAAAGCAGCAGCAAACAUCCCAGUCAUUUAAGUCACAGGUCAAGUCUGAGUCUGCUAUACUCGUCACAUAAUGGGAGGACAGAGACAACGGACGACAUGUACAACUUUUUUAGAAAAGAGAUUAUGCUACGUUUAGUAUAGUCCAUUCCAGUUCCAUUGCAUCGGUAACAAAAGUAGCAACAAACAUCAGUCACUAAAGCCACAGGUGGGUUUGGGGAUAUUUGCCACCCUUUUUUGUUCAGGUGGCGCAGACCAGUAAGGGGAGGAGACUGUGGAUCACAAGUUUCCAUGUUCUGUUGAAUUGCAACAGAUCCAUUUCCUUUGGCUAGCACCCAAUACAAUACAUUGCACCCAAUGCACUGCACCAACUCCAAAACAGUACAUUGCACCCGAUGCCCUGCACCAACUCCAAAACAGUACAUUGCACCCAAUGCAUUGCACAAACUCCAAAACAAUGCAUUGCACUGCACAGAUAUCACAGCACACAGUCACACAGACUACAGUCACAGCUAAGUGCUGUUUGAAGGUCAUGUUGAAAGUCACUAUUUGUUUUGUGCUGUAGCACAUUUGAGAAACCCCCUGAGAAACCCUGAAAUCCCUUGUAAAACCAUGAAAUACCGUGAAACAAUGAAAUACCUUGAAACCCUUGUAAAACCAUGAAACCCUUGUAAAAUUAUGAAAUACCUUGAAACCCUUGUAAAACCCUGAAAUCCCUUGUAAACCCUUGAAAUACCGUGAGACCCUUGUAAAACCAUGAAAUACCGUGAAACCCUUGUAAAACCAUGAAAUCCCUUGAAAACCCUUGAAAUACCUUGAAACCCUUGUAAAACCAUGAAAUACCUUGAAACCAUGAAAUACCUUGAAACCCUUGUAAAAACCCUGGUUUUUUUAACCUUUAAAGCAUAAGUUUUAAACCUGUUGCUGAAGCUACAUUUGGUUUUAGCCAUUUUAUAGGGUGCACCCUCUGGCAUUAAAGUUUUGCUUCCUCUGAAGCUUUAGUAAUAUUUUUGGUCCUAUAUAAAGCUUUAAACAUACCUUUGUAAAGCCUACAACAGAAAAAGGACUCACGUCCUCCCCUGCUCCGUGUGCAGCAGUUGAGAUUGGAGCCUGUUGGGGUGAAGAGAUUUAUGGCGUAUUUCCACUGAAUCUACUUUCCUCGACACAGUAUGGUUCAGGUCGCAUCUCCACUUUUAAUUAUUGAGAUUUUAGACCGGUAAUUGGGAUCAACCCAGGUUUUAGGAUUGUCAAGUAGUUUAACUGAUCUACAGUUCGGCGCUGUUCGGCUUGAUCUGUCAAGUUUUGUUUUCCGUGUCGGACAUCUCUUCUCCUUCUUCCCUUCUAAAAAUAGCACCUGCUAUCAGGUACUGUGGUAGUGGAAACACUUCUUGAAUCACGCCGUGGCGAGGCGAGUAGAGCGGGUGGAAAUACGCCAGCCCAUUACUGAUAAGAAGACAACUGAUGUUAGUGGUGAAACACAGAAAGUAGCAAUAAAAAAUAAUUUAAAGUACAACUUUACCUCUCACGCUCCUCUCCCUUCUGCUGCACGAUUCGAGCCAACGCGGAAGUGGCUUUUAAAGGUAGUUUCAGUAUUGGCGCGCGAAUGCUCAAACCAAUCAGCUAUCAAUAAUAGCCCCCUCCCAAGACGAUCCCAUGUUCACGCUCCCUUCUUCCUGAUUGGUUGCUCUAUCCAUCAUCCAUCAUUUGUUUCUCUGCUAUCCGCUUGGCUUUUAUUUUGAAGUAUUUGCUUUUACUUUUGGGUUACCUGACUUCCUGUCCUUCACUUCAUUCCUCAGACAGAAAAAAUGGCAAAAUA